AUUGUUACAGGGUUAAUUUUCGCAAAAUCAACACUGCACGGCAGUAGCUCGCAGCCACUUCAGCCCGUUACUUUUUCCCCACAACACAGCCUUACUUAGACAAUUUCAGGCUUGAACCAAACUUAAGAACACACACACAGUUUACGGGUAAAAACCCAACCUUUAUUAUCUCUCUCAGAAUAAUACAAGGAAUCACGUUUUUAGGCUUGGCUCACAAGUGUUUUCUGAAUGCCUUAGCCAUAUACGAAAUGCAUAUAAAUAAGGAAUCCCGUUUUUAGGCUUGGCUCACAAUUGUUUUCUGAAUGCCUUAGCCAUACACGAAAUGCACAUAAAUAAAGAGGCUGCCAAUGGCAGUUACAAAAGGGGACAGUUACAAAGGGGAUCAUGUCAGCCACUUGCCC
rnacentral:lncRNA from 1 species